UUGGCACGAUUAACCCUGAUACCAAUAAAAUCCCUAAGCAUUUGUUUCAGGGUUAUUUGAAUAUCUAUAACAACUAUUUUAAAGCGCCGUGGAUGCCUGACCGUACCGAGGCUAACCCUAAUGAGCUUAAUCAAGAUGAUGCUCGUUAUGGUUUCCGUUGCUGCCAUCUCAAAAACAUUUGGACUGCUCCGCUUCCUCCUGAGACUGAGCUUUCUCGCCAAAUGACGACUUCUACCACAUCUAUUGACAUUAUGGGUCUGCAAGCUGCUUAUGCUAAUUUGCAUACUGACCAAGAACGUGAUUACUUCAUGCAGCGUUACCAUGAUGUUAUUUCUUCAUUUGGAGGUAAAACCUCUUAUG
rnacentral:rRNA from 1 species